rnacentral:lncRNA from 1 species
CGGGGUCAGGAUGGAUGGGCUGGGGUCAGGGUAGAUGGGCCGGGGUCAGGGUGGAGCUGGGAUGCUGCAGCUGAGAGACCUUUAUACCCGACAGAGCUGGGGAUAUGCAAUAGGACAGGUAGGGGCUCAGCCCUGCAUCGGCCCCUCCUUGCUUCCCUGCCAGGCUUCUGGGAAUGAGUGAAGCCCCAGGACAGUGGGUGGAGGGGCUGCAGAGGCCAUGUAGCCCCAUCCUUGAAAGUGAGAUGUGUUUUGGGGAACUGCUCACACUCUCUCCUUCUCCAGGAGGACAGAGCACCUCUGGAUCCAUGCCCCACCUCCUCGAGUGAGUGCCCUCUGCCCUUGCCUGAGCCCUCCCAAGGACAAGGGGAUCAGCCUCGCCCCUGGCCUCCCUGCCUCCACUCUGGGGCUCCCAAGGGAGCUCUCAGAAGCACAGAUUGGGAGCGCUCACAGUUCCUGCCUGAGCUCAAACUCCAUGCCAAGCAUCUGCUCAGGCCAGGGGUUAUUAGACCUGGUUGCCUUGAGGAUGCAGGGCCCAGUGACUUCCCCUCAAGUCACAUGGCUUGGGAGGGCAGAGCAGAGAUGAGUUUCUGGAAGCAGCUCCAGAUCCAGUACCGUCGCUGUGUGCUGGGUGGGUAGAGAGCCCUCUGCACUGAGCCCAGCAGGCCAGCCGCCCCAGGUCCCACUACUGCAGCCCCCGACUCAUUCUCCCUGACCUGAUGCAGACCCCCCAGGGGCCCAGGGGUCCAGCUCUGUCCUCCCGUCCCUUCCCCCACCCCCUGCCCACCCUGCACAUGCCUCCUGCUCUCCAGCCUUUGCCUCAACCCCUUCCUCCCUCUCCAUGCUGUCUCCUCAUUUCACAAUUCUGGACUGAAGACCCCGCCCAAAUGCCAGCUGAUUCAGGCAGGCAGGAUAUUAAUGAGCACCUAGUACCUGCCAGGAGCUGUCAACCUCAGGGGGCAGGCAGCAAAAAAAGCAGAGAAGCAGAGCAAGACCCUCCCCACCUCCACCCACCGCACUCAGCGAGGCUGAGCAGAGAAGCAAAGCAAGCCCCUCAGCACACCAAGAAAAGACUUUUCACUUGGAAUCCUUCCGAUGCAGAUGUGUGAAGACUCUGGUAGCGACAUCUCGGGGACUGAGCAUCUUCUAUUGAUUGGAAAAACACACACAGCACCAGUGAGUUUGCAGAGCACA